rnacentral:rRNA from 1 species
AGCGAAUAGAUACCCGGGUAGUCCUAGCCCUAAACGAUGAAUGCUUGGUGUGGCGGGUAUCGAUCCCUGCCGUGCCGAAAAGCUAACGCAUUAAGCAUUCCGCCUGGGGAGUACGGUCGCAAGGCUGAAACUCAAAGGGAAUUGACGGGGGCCCGCACAAGCGGUGGAGCAAUGUGGUUUCAAUUACGACGACAACCGCGAAGAACCUUACCUGGGCUCGAAAUAGCAGAUGACAACCGAUGAAAGUCGGCUCCCGCAAGGGCGUCUGUAUAGGUGCUGCAUGGCUGUCGUCAGCUCGUGUCGUGAGAUGUUGGGUUUAAGUCCCGCAACGAGCGCAA